GGUGGUUGGUCUCAUAAAGGGUGGUUGGUCUCAUAAAGGGUGGAUGGUCUCACUUAAGGGUGGAUGGUCUCAUAAAGGGUGGAUGGUCUCACUUAAGGGUGGAUGGUCUCAUAAAGGGUGGUUGGUCUCAUAAAGGGUGGAUGGUCUCAUUAAGGGUGGAUGGUCUAAUUUAAGGGUGGAUGGUCUCACUUAAGGGUGGAUGGUCUCAUUUAAGGGUGGAUGGUCUCACUGAAGGAUGGAAGGUCUCGUUUAGGGGUGGGUGGUCUCACUUAGGGAGCGUUUGGUUUUGUGACCUGCACUCACUCAGUUCAGGGUCAUUCCUGAUCUCUGGGUUGAACCAUUUUAAGAUCAUUUAGCAGUACAUUUUCCACUCCAGUUCUCCAGUUCUAUCCAUGAUUAAUGCCAAGUCCAGCUCGGAUCAAAGGUUGGCGACAAAAAUGCUUGCAAUAGGAAACUGUAUCAAAUAAUCCCAAAAUAAGAAACUGCCUGAAACUGGGCUUUCAUGUCGCUGCUCGUUGAGGCCUCAACAGCCGCAGGUACACAGUGGUUACCCCAUGUAGCAGGUACACGGUGGUUACACCAUGUAGCAGGUACACAGUGGUUACACCAUGUAGUAGGGCACAGGGAAAUCUGAUAGUUGUAGAAAAACAUAAUGUAAUAUUGUAGAAAACCAACAACUGUAUAAUAGUUUAAUGUAGAAUAACAAAAUAUAACUAGUUAAUUGUGGGUUAUGACUCAGUUAAUCUGACUCAUCUCUUUGAAUGUUUUUCAAGGUUAUUUCUCAGAUAUUGUCGCAAUGUUUUUUAUUCUGUCUCUGACGGGAACCUACAUGAGUUUUAAAUUCAUAAAAUAAACAGAUAUAUUAUACCUUACUACCUGAUAGGUUUAUAAGCAGUAUUACUCGUAGAUAGUGAGACCAAACACCAACCGACACCAGAGCAAAGGUGUCUCCUCACCCCCAUCUUGCCAGGACAGUUAAAGGAAGCGUUAAUUCGUAGUAAAUGCCUGCUCUUUGAUUUCCUCCAGUCUCUAUCUCCCAGCUCCCUGUCAUCAUGCUACAUGGUGGGACUCACAUGACUAACCUGUCCUCACAAGGUGAUCCUAUGGUUAGUUAAAAAUAACAAAUCAAAGAAAUAAACUCAUUAUAGAAACAAUUAUGAAUAGCAAAGCAUGCAUGUCUAAAAAACGUACAUAUUAAAUUUAACGUUUUGAUUCAUAAAGUCCUAGCAUUAAAACCAAUCACCGCAAGAAAUACCUCAACAGUUUGCCCGAGUGGAGGUAGGAAGCGAUAGUGAGAACACUCAAAGCCACAACAGUGCAGCUAUCCCAGGGAACGGGGCAGCAGUGUCUAUUCUCCCCCUUUCAAGGAUUACUUGACCAAACCAAGUCAUUUCCAAUUCAAUGGCUGUAAAACAUUAAAACGUAGGGUUCUGUUCCGUUAACAGUACAGAAUUUAUUUCGUACUUAUUGUCACUUUCAGGAAAGAAAGAUGACAAAAGAUCAGAUGUCAAAACAGACUGUACGAUAUCAUGGGGUUAAUAUUGUAAGUGACAGACAGAUAAAACAGUUUUAAUAGGUGAAAUAAUCGGCAUAAUAAAUUGACAGUGUAAAACUAUUGCAACAAGAUGUUAGCAGUAUACAGUUACUAGCUGUUCUAACCCUCCAACAAGCGCCCACGGUCACUACUCUAAAGGCUGCCGCUACACGCUAACCCGCCACCACCGACUCAUGACAAACCUAAAACGCAUUCAAGACUUGGGUUUAGUUUCAUAGGGUCCCACUAGUUAUAUAAUUAAACUAAGGUUUAUUCACGUUUGAUGUUUUAGAAUAACAAUAUUUGAUCUGAAAUUCCAUGAAUCAUUUACAAUAUAAACGGCUGUGUGUCAAAUUAAAUGUAAUGAAGUGUGUCAAACGUAUCACGAUAAUAUUCUCAACACAUACCGAUGUUUUUAGUGCAUUAGGGAAGUAUUCAGACCAAUCCUCCAUUCCUCAUUCCUUCGAUGUUUCUAGAACCUGAUUGGGGGUCACUCUGGGUCCUUUCCAGUUGAUGUGAUGAGUCGUCUAGGGAACACUUCUUCUUUGGGGAAUUCAGAGACCAAAGUAGCUUCCAUUAGUGGAAGAAGCUGGGACCCCCCAGAAUCCCCCUGGGGCUGGCAGGCUACGGGGGGGGGGGGACUGUGGAGCAGGAGAACCCAGGGGGAGGCGUGGUUCUUCAGGAUGGUUCUCUCUGCAUGGUCUUGGCUCACCCCCUUGUCAUUCACCCUCCAGGAGGUGGAGCGCCGUGAUGCUGACCUCAUGCUGUGAGGAGCUCUUCAUUGGCAGGUUCUGAAGGACGAGUCAGGAUGGAGUGAAAGAUCAAGAAUAUCAAGAAUAAAACGGAAGAGAGAUCUUUGUGAAAGCCUGAUCCAAAGCGAUCAGGACCUCAGAAGAGGGAAAAGGUUUCUCCUCGAAGGAGGAACGAUGGGCCCACAGCCGAGAAGGCCAAACGCAGGAGGCAUUGGACGUCUCUGGAUAUGUGUGGGGCACAGCCCGACGGAAACAUCAGGAGCCGUGGCUGGGAAGCCCCCCCUGACUUGGGGGACGAUGAAAGAGGGCCUUCCCCAGAUAUAUCCAUCAUGACCUCAAGAAGACUAGUGGGUGUAGUCACUGCAGAAAGCAGUUCGACAAAGAACCAAGUAAAGGCAUGGAGGUGAACAAGCGAUUGCUUAAAAAGUACAG